ensembl:lncRNA
GUGCUUGCCCCUGGGCCCCGCCCCGCCGGCCGCGCGCGCCGUCCCGGAAACCGCUUCUCAACCCCGGUAGCGCGGGCGUGGCCCCCGUUGCUUCUCCCGCCGCGACAUCCCGGUCAGCUCAGGAUUUUUCAAUUCUCCUCGCCUCCGUUCCCAUUUCCCUGCGGCGCUGCUGCCUCGGCCCCCGCCCUACUGAGGGUCAGAGCCCAGGGGACACAGAUUCGAUCCCUGGUCCAGGAAGAUCCCAUAUGCUGUGGAGCAGCUAAGCUCCUGUACCAUAGCGUCUGAGCCCUGUGCUGUAGAGCCUGCAAGCCACAACUACAGAGCCUGUCUGCUGCAGUUACCGAAGCCUGUGUGUUCUAGACCCCAGGAACUUCAACUACUGAGCCUGUGUGCUGCAACUACAGAAACCUGCACCCUAGAUAGAGCCUGUGCUCCGCAGUAAGAGAAGCCCACAAGCCACAAGGAAGAGGAGCCCCCACUUGAGGCAGCUAGAGGAAGCCCAUGCACAGCAACAAAGACUUAGUGCAAUGAGAUAAUUAAAAAAAAAAAAAAGAAAUGCAUGACAAUGGCCUUGUCAUUAUAUUCUUUCUUUCUUCACUUCUUAUGUUUGGCACUUCGGAUUCAACCUAGUACUUAAUUAGCUGUGAUGGUGAACAAAAAGUUCUUCAUCAGGUUAUUUGUAUCACCACACUUCUCAAAUUGGAAAUUGUAAACCUUGGCACUCAUAUUACUGUAUUUCCAGGUUAGAAACUAUAAUCCACAGGUGCUCUUGAGAUAAUUUUAAUGAAGGUAUAGAAGGAUUGUGUAUUCAUUUCCUAAAGUGUUGUGUUAGUCACUCAGUUGUGUCUGACUCUUUGAGACCCCAUGGACUGUAGCCUGCCAGGCUCCUCUGUCCAUGGAAUUCUCCAGGCAAGAGUUCUGGAGUUGGGUGCCAUUCCCUUCUCCAAUUCAUUUCCUAGGGCUGCUGUAAUUAAUUUCACAAACUGUGUGGCUUGAAACAAUAGAAACUUAUUCUCCCCUAAUUUUGAAUUCUAGAAGUUCAAAGCCAGGGUCUCAUCAGGGCAGCUUCUUUCUGGAAGCUCUAAGGAAGAAGCUGUUCCAUGCCUUUCCUAGCUCCCACCGGUUGCUGGCAGUCUUUGGGUUUAUAGCUGCAUCAAUUCAAUCACUCCAUCUUCAUGUGGGCCUCUCCCUUGUGUGUGUCUGUUGCUGUUUGUCCUCUCCUCUUUUUAUAAGGACACUAGUCUUUGGAUUUAGGUCCCACUCUAAUCCAGUAUGACCUCAUCUUAAAUCAUUGUAUCUGCAAAGACUCUAUUUCCAAGAAAGGUCACAUUCUAAUGUUCCAGGUGGACAAGAAUUUUAGAGGAGACACUAUUCAACCCACUACAGACAGUCUUGUAUAAGAGGGAAGCUUAGCUCUGAAUGGAACAGUAUGCCUAAUCAACAGCAGCAGUUAGGAGAUGUCUCACUGUGAUAGAGUCAGGACCACAAAUCAAGUUGUUACUUCUCCUGAAGAGAGCUUUUUCUAGGGAUCCUAAUACACUGCGGUGCCAGGAAUACCUUACAGCACUCAACAUUUCUCAUACAGGGAAUGGAUGGUAGGACUAGACUGAAUAGACCAGACCAAGAUGCCAGCUUGCUCUCAAGAAAUUCAAUCUUAUGGUUCACAGCCAUCUCAAUAUUCAUUCAAGUUCUAGUUGACCUAAUUAAACUCACUCAUCAUUUGAUCAAAAGAUUCCAG